GACGACCGGCCGGACACCGCCGUGUGCCCGGCCCACAAGUGGAGGCUUCGAACUCCCACCUGACCGCCCCCUGGGGCGGCGGGUCACCGGUCAGACGGUCCCGUCCCGAGGCGGCGAUCCGUCCGAAUGCGCGCCCCGCGAUGAUUCGCGGCGGUGCUCCGGUAGUUCGAGGAGCCCCGCCUGUGAUCGUCCGGGGCAUUUUUU
rnacentral:ncRNA from 16 species